UUACGGCCACGUCAUAUUGAAACACCGGUUUCCGUACUAUGCUUGAAGUUAAGCAACAUUGAGACUGAUCAGUACCUGGAUGGGUAACCGCUUGGGAAUAAUAGGUGCUGUAAG